rnacentral:rRNA from 1 species
AGGAUGAACGCUGGCGGUGUGCCUAAUACAUGCAAGUCGAACGAGACCUUCGGGUCUAGUGGCGGACGGGUGAGUAACACGUUGGUACCUACCCCUAAGUGGGAAUAACUGCCCGAAAGGGUGGCUAAUACCGCAUAAUCCCGCAAGGGUAAAGCAGUAAUGCGCUUAGGGAGGGGCCUGCGUCCCAUUAGCUUGUUGGUAGUGUAAUGGACUACCAAGGCGACGAUGGGUAGCUGGAUCGAGAGGUUGACCAGCCACACUGGGACUGAGAUACGGCCCAGACUCCUACGGGAGGCAGCAGUAAGGAAUCUUCCACAAUGGACGAAAGUCUGAUGGAGCAACACCGCGUGCAGGAUGACGGUCUUCGGAUUGUAAACUGCUUUUAUAUGGGAAGAUUAUGACGGUACCAUAUGAAUAAGGACCGGCUAACUACGUGCCAGCAGCCGC